CUCGGGCAGGGCGAUCGGUUCAGGGGUGCCCUCACGGGGCGCGGUCAGCGGCACGGACUCGCUGCCGGUGGGUUCGGUCCCCGCGUCCGACG
rnacentral:tRNA from 1 species